ACAACUCUCAACAACGGAUAUCUUGGCUCCCGUAACGAUGAAGAACGCAGCGAAAUGCGAUACGUAGUGUGAAUUGCAGAAUUCCGUGAACCAUCGAAUCUUUGAACGCAAAUUGCGCUCGAGGCUUCGGCCAAGAGCAUGUCUGCCUCAGCGUCGG
rnacentral:rRNA from 2 species